UACGAAGGGGGCUAGCGUUGCUCGGAAUCACUGGGCGUAAAGCGCACGUAGGCGGAUUCUUAAGUCAGGGGUGAAAUCCUGGAGCUCAACUCCAGAACUGCCUUCGAUACUGGCGAUCUCGAGUUCGGGAGAGGUGAGUGGAACUGCGAGUGUAGAGGUGAAAUUCGUAGAUAUUCGCAAGAACACCAGUGGCGAAGGCGGCUCACUGGCCCGAUACUGACGCUGGAGGUGACGAAAGCGUGGGGAGCAAACAGG
rnacentral:rRNA from 1 species